UUUUCAUCUCCUACUUGAUGAUUGAUGGCUUUUUUUUUUCCAGGUAAAAUUUACAUACAUUAAAGUGUACAAAUCUUAGCUGGAGGAUUUUGACAAAUGGAUAAGCCCAUGUGACCCACACACUUAACCAAGACACUGUGUUUCCCGUUUUCACCUUCCCAGUCAGUAGCCUUCUGUCCUGAGGCAAUUGCUGUUUUGAUUGUUUUUUCACCUCAGAUUAGUUUUGCUUGUUCUGGCACUUGACAGCAAUGGAAUCAUACAGAAUAUAUUCUGUGUCCAACUUCUUUCACUUGAUCUAAUGUCUAUGAGAAUCAUUCAUGUUGGCAUGAGCUGAGUACUCUUCCGUUGUUUGGAUAUCUCACAAUUUGUUUUUUCAUUCUAACAACAGACCUUAGGUUGGUUCCAGUUUGGGGCUAUUAUGAGUAAAGCUUCUGUGAACAGGUUAAGCUGCCUUAAUAUUUGCUUGCAAUAUAUAUUGUUUUUGAAAUACGAUAGCAUCUAAUUGAAAAUUCCACUAAUUUAUAAUUUUUGAGGCUGAUCCCUUAUCCCUCCACCUCAUUUAUUGUUCUGAGUUAGCAUUUCAAAGUUUAUAUAAAACUGGUACCUAAUAGUUGAGAAUUCUUGCUUUUGUCAGAUAUUGAAUUGAAUGAUACUUUUUUGAUCAACAGAAAAUUUUCCCCCCAAAAUCAUUUUGCUUUUCACUAAACUACUGGCAUAAUAAGCAAUCUCUCUUUUUUCUUUCUCAUUUGGUUUUCAUUUUCUUUUUCAGAAAUGAGCCCCUGAGUCCUGAGUUGGUGGCAGCUGCAUCUGCUGCUCUGUUUUGAAAAGCAGGCAAGCCAGAGCUGCUCAGGCAGCUCCAUAGCAUGAGGAAGAGUCAGGGGCACAGAGAGAUGGAGAGAGACCUAAUUAGGAAAAAUAUAUUCGGGGAAGAGAUGUAAUAGAUUUCACAUUAUGGCAGUUACUAAAGAAGCACGUGAACAGACACAUCACCUUCACUUUGGGAUAUGGAAUUUGAUAAGCAGUUAGCCACAGAAUAUGAAGAACCCCUUUAGAAUGAGAUUGAAGAGCUGAUCCAGUGGACAAAAGAGGGGAAACUGAGAGUUCCCAAUUAACAAUGAAGCAGAUUUCAAUAAACUGAUGCCAAGAAUUUAUGGAGAAAAUUAUAAAAACUUUACUGAAAGACAUACGAAUAACUGAAUGAAACAAGCAAUUAUGUUCAUGGACUGGAAGAGGCAAUACAAGGGAAAGAUAUCAUUUCUCCUCAAACGAAUCUGCAAAAUCAAAGUGAACAAUUUGUUGUUGUUGUUGUUGUUGAGACUCACACUGCUACGUAGGCUGGAGUGCAGUAACACGAUAAGAGUCUCAA